rnacentral:lncRNA from 1 species
UCUGUUCGGCGAUCCAGUGCCGAACAGAAGGCUUCUGUUCGGCACUGUGCAGCCGAACAGAAGCCUUUUGUUCGGCGAUCCAGUGCCGAACGGAGCACGAACCGUGAAAAAAAAAUUUCGAAACAAGGUGGAACACGUACCUUUGCGGCCGAUUCUUCGUCCCAAAUCACUAGUUGCUUGUCCAUGCUUCGAAUGGGGCUUAAAUCUCCUUCAAAGAUCGCCUAAACGAUGUAAAUGGAUCGAGGGGUUUAAGGGGGGUUUGAGGGGUGGUUUUUUUUUUCCUUUUCAAAACGAAACGGAGGAGGAGACGGAGGAGGAGGAAGGGGGGUGUACUGAGAAAAUUUCAAGGGCAAUAUGGUAAUUACACUAAAGGUUAGUUUGGGUAUUUUUUUUGGGUUUUUGGGGGGUGUCCUGAGCAAUCGGGGGGGUGUAUUUAGAACUCCCCUCUAGGAUGGCAUGCUAUGUAUAGUAAAUUGACCGUACAGGCCCAAGAUCUAAAAUAAAUACCAAACAAAAUAGAAAAAAAGACGUUAAAAAAAUAAUUAAGAGAGAAAAAAUAUUUUAUUACAAAAUUGAGCUACAAUAAUGCUCUCUCCCACCUCUCACUAAGAAGACAGCUCUUAUUCUCUGUCUCUCUCUCUCUUCUUGUACCAUACCAAAGGAGACACCAAAAGUAGCAUAUCACAUGGGUGGGAUGUUAGAUUCCUACUAGAUUCAAAAACCAACACCGAUUAAAAGACGAGACUUGAUAACCACUAAAGAAUAAAGAUAAUUAUUCUAGAAAGAAUAACUAAGUAGAAUAAAAUUAGGAAUAGAAUCCCAAUGUUAUUAAAAUUAAUGACCAACUAAAUAGCAAUCCUAAUAGGAUUAGGACUUGGCAAGGCUCAACAAAAGCACAAGCCAUUAUUUAUAAAACUAGUUGUAAUUCAUGAGUUGGUGCUGGAAUUUUAAUUCUAAAAAUCUAAAAUAAUAAAUUUAUAAUUAAUAUUUAAUGCAUUGUGGCUUAUCUUAGUCUCUUGGUUUAGAAUUUUUUUUUCCUCUUCCAAAGUUUGUACCAUUUGAAUAUACUAGAUAUUUUUUAGAUGUUUUUGAAUUUUUUUUCUUUCUUGGUAAAUAGACUUAAAGUCCGUCAACAUUAGUAAAUUUAAGGUUUUCCAAGAGAAAAGUUUAAUAAGCAAUAGAAAAUUUAAUUAUAUUUAUAGUAAAAAUAUUUUGAAUCUUUAAUAGACUAAGUUAAACUAUUUUUAUGCAGUUUAAACAUUUACUUUAUUUUUUUGCUCCGAGAUGGUAUCAAUCAAUCUAAUUCCAAGUAUGCAAAUGUGUUGGAAAACAGAAGUGAUCCAGUUCAACCUAGAUCCAUGGCCGAAAGGGAGGCCCAUGGACGAAUUCAACAAGCAAUCUUUAUUUGUUGCUCCCAGGUGAAUUAUUUGUUCAAAGUUCCAAUGCAUUUUACAAAAGUCUUUUGUUGAUUAUCUAGGUCCCAAACUAGGUUUCAGCUGGACCAAUACCCAAUUCCUACUGGCCAAGCAUAGGGGACAAAUUAGGACUCGGAACUUUUCAAAUGAAGGAAACGCUAUUGCACCUGACCUAAUCAAAUUCUAACGGCGUCAUUAAGUUUAAUUUUUCUGCAGCUCUUUUUCUCCUUUUUUUUCUUUGUAUUUUUAUUUUAGGGACUUCAGGACUCUAAGAUCGAUCUCCUUCAUAGGAUUUAUUGGGAAACAGGGACUCAUAAUACUGGAAUAGUAGAGAUACAACAUGAUGAUUAUGAUUAUAUGACAUUUGGAAGAUUCAGUAAUUAAGCCAUUUUCUCAUGCUAUUUCUGUUUUGCUCCCCUUUCCCUCUUUUCUGAAGCCUUUGCCUUCAAUGGGGUAGUCUACUGAGUGUUACCGCUUUAUAUAUACACCUUAACCAAUUUGUUGCCUCUUGUUGGCAUCCUGCUGUGUUUUUUAUUCAGAAUGACACUUUGAUUUGCCUAGUUAGCAAUUUUUUCUGGGUUCUGUCAUUUCUUUUUUCCCCCAUGGCCAGAUCUAGACAAAUGUCUCAUCUGUUAAGUUUGAAUUCUUGUGGAUUAGGACUUUGGAUUUAUUCAUUGGAAGUUAUUUUUGAUUCAGAUUUCAAAAAUGGAAUUAAGAUCAUUUAAUAGGGAGCUUCAACUGCAUAUCUUGGAGCUAGCAGAUAUUCUAGUGGACUAAUGUCUCAUCUUCUAAGUUUGAAUUCUUGUGAAUUAUAUUUUGGAUUUGUUCAUUAGAAGCUAUUUUGGACUCAGAUUCCAAAAAUGAAUUAAGAUCACUUAAUAGGGAGCUUCAACUGCAUAUCUUGGAGCUAGCAGAUAUUCUAGUGGACUAAUGUCUCAUCUGCUAAGUUUGAAUUCUUGUGAAUUAUGACUUUGGAUUUAUUCAUUGGAAGUUAUUUUGGACUCAGAUUUUAAAAAGGAAUUAAGAUCACUUAAUAGGGAGCUUCAACUGCAUAUCUUGGAGCUAGCAGAUGUUCUAGUGGAGAGACCUUCUCAAUACGUCUGGAGGUGGUGGACAUUUCUCUUAUGUUCAAGAAUUUGCACCAUCUCCUGACAAUUUAAUUGCUCAUCCUUGCCUAAAAACGAACUGACAAAUUAAAUUUUUCAUUCUUAUAAUUCCUGGUAUCAUCAUUUUGUUUUCCACUUCUAGGCCAAAUCAACACACAUUCCCAUUUUAGAACGUCGAAGCAUCGUAAACAAGAAGUGGAGGAUAUAAAAAGGUGAGUGCACUCCUUUGACUGUUAAAUGGUCGAUUUCUUCUUGUUCGGAACCAUAUAGAUCUGAGGGAUGAUUUCUUAGUACAGGCAUUGUAGAAGCUCCAAAUUAAAUUUAAGACAUCUGGCUUGGAUUUCACUUCCAGGAUUAUAAACAUCACCCUCUUCACAGCAAUUCUUUCAUCUGCAGGAACUUGCAAUCAGCAAACUUAUUGCAGCAUGUAUCGAAGGGAAAACUGAAGGGGCUCACUUGAUCAGGAACAAUUGCCUCAACUUUCACAGGUGCAGGUUUUAGAGGGGAUAUCAUCACCCCAAAGACUUAAACUUGGAAUCUCAUCAGGUUGAGAAAAUUUUUUAAUAAGGAGGACNNNNNNNNNNNNNNNNNNNNNNNNNNNNNNNNNNNNNNNNNNNNNNNNNNNNNNNNNNNNNNNNNNNNNNNNNNNNNNNNNNNNAUCAGUGUUUGGUAUGACUGGUAGACUUUGUGACAUGGAUAAAAGUGGCUUUGAAUAGUAGAUAUUGCAAAAUGAUGCUUUUAACUUGCUUGUCAAUUAAGAUUUGGCUUUUCGCCGUUUGUUCUCUCGUAAAACUAGGAAAUAUUUACUGCUUCCAUCACUUCUUGAUGAUUUUUCGGUGGAAGAUACUAACUGCAUGGUUUUAUAACUCUGAUCUCUUUGCUGUUCUGGAGAGUGGAAGCCCAGAAGCUGCUCAAGGAAUCGCUUCAUACUUUGGAUGCUCAUCUUCUCUUAAGUUUUAUCACCUGUCUUAAUGUUAAAAGACUUCUAUCUUUUGUACCAAUAUGAAUCUAUAUAUUUUUGUUGGUUACCUUAGGAAUGGUGUCACAGUUUGCUUGGUGACUCCAAGGAAGCAAUCUUAUUAGCAAAACAUGAAUCAAUGCUAAGAGAGAGAUUUGCAUGAAAGGUGGAUAAAUGCAUGCAGUUACUUCGCUUGGGGUUGGUUAAUAGGGCAUUCAGAGACUUUAUAAGCAGGUAAUUAGCUUGCAAAUUCAGCUGUUUGAAGAAUCUAGUUCACUAACCUUUUGGGGUUGAUACAAGUGAACUAGGUUGAAGUACUACCUUCACCACAGUUCAUGAUCUUGGUGAAUUAUUGAUGGACGUUAGGAUAUCGACCAUCCUUAGCAAAAGAAAAUGUUGGGGAAAAACCCAAAUCAUCCGGAAGAUGCUGUUUCAAGGGGCACCCGAUGUAAGGCGGCCGCCUCGGCCAGGCGCCCGACAAGAGGGCGCCGGCCAAGCAACGCCCGGGCCGCAGGCGCCCGACUUAAGGCAGCCAGCUUGGCCCGGAGCCCGACCAGAGGGCGCCGACCAAGCAACACCUGGGCCGUAGGCGCCGUAGGCGCCCGACUUGAAGGCAACGAGCUCGGCCCGGCGCCCGACUAGAAGGCGCCGACCAGGCAACACCCGGGCCGCAAACGCCCGACUUGGAGCAGCCGGCCCCGCUCAGUGCCCGGCCGGAUGCCAGGUUCUGAAGCAUCCCACCCUAGUGCUCGGCCUGACACCUUUCGGGAGCCUAACUCCAGACACUCAAAUCUCACCAUAUCAGGCUACCGCCAGACCAUUAAUGCGCAUGGCCUCUGCAGGCCUCCAGUGCACUCAACCAUUAAUGAGCACGACUCAAAAUGAUCUCCGGAUCACUCGACCAUUAAAGCGUAUGACCUUCCCCGAUCACCGGUUCACUCAACAAUCAAUGCGCUUGUUAUCUACAGACCCCAGGCCCUCCACAGCGGGCGGUUGAACUACUCCACCAGGUCUGAUCAACCACAACAGUUCACUGACUCCGGUCUCAUCCGGUCUCAUCCCCUACGACGCCAUUAAUGCACAUGAUCGUGCUCAAUUAUCACAAAGAGGACAAUCUGCCCCGUCACCUCCCAGGUAAUACAAUAUCCCUCUAUAAAGGGGAACCCCUCCAGGGGAGAGGGAUUUGGACACCGAAAUCCGGAAAGAAACAUCCUCCUCCUUUUCUCCCUCUUACUUUUCCUCUUCUGACUUAAGCAUCGGAGGGCCGGCGCCGGGAACUCCGGCCACCGGCUUCUUGCAGGUCAUCCGGAGGACGCCACCUGCCGAUGUACCGCCGCCUACCAUUCCAGCAGCGGAGCUUCUUCCCCCUCAGCCGACGGUCGCCCCCGGGUCCAAUUUCCAGCAACAGAAAACAACAUGAGAAGAAGCAAAGUGCGGUCUAGCAGAAUCAAUAUAUUCUAAUGAUAAAAUCACAGCUAACAUCCAAUCAAUUGAAUGUCUGUUUUUCAUUUAUUUUUGGACUAACAGAUGCUUGAAAGCAUUUUUCGCAUAUAGAAAUAUUGAAGUAUAAACUUCUCUUUUGUUCUAACCUAUUAUUGCAUUUCUGCGGGCUCCGAUCUCCGCAGAGCUACAAAAAUAGUCAGGAAGUCUGCAGAUUAACCAUGAGCACCGGUUGCCACCGUUUUGAUUUAUGAGAAUUGUUUAUCUAAUAUGAGAGUAGUUAGCAACAUGGAGAUUCACAACUGUUGUGCCAUGGAUGAAUCAGAUGAUCCAUAAGAUAACAAAUUGAAGGUUUGUAAGUGUUGUGAAGACAUUUAACUUUCUAAAUAUAAGCAAAUGUUAUGCUUUCUAUAGCUGUGUAUGGCCUCGAGGGCUGGCUACCCAUACAAAAAGUUCCUCAUGCUUUAAUUGGCAGAUUGGUGUUAUUUGAAAGGGUUGGUGAAGAUUUAGGAGGUCAAUUAAACCUUAUCCACCAUAAAUUAUUCAUGUGUGACUAACAAUGGUACUAUAGUAUUGUUGGUUUUAAUCUGGUCACAUAUUAUGCUUCAUAAAUAUUAAUUAUUUAACAUCAAUUAUCUAUAUUGCAUUGAAAAGAUCUAACAGAUGCAUUGUGUGGAUCUGUGCAGAUGUGUGUUUAGUCCUAUAUCGGUUAUUUGCUGGGUAGAUCGUGGAUACUUAUGCAGGAUCAAAAAAUCCAAAUAAUACCUUCUGGUUAGCCUUUUUGGGUAAAAUACUAGGUUGUUAAUAAACAGUAUUAGAGCGGACUUAGCCCAUAACCUAUAUUGACUAGGGGACGCUGCAAUACAGAUUCAUUGGGACUGACUACAGGUCGAUCUGGCGCUUGCGAUUAAAUUUGAAUGGAUUUGAACUCUUAGUCUGCCGAGGACGUCGGGGCUUAAACCGAGUAUGGGAGGACCUGUGUGGGCAUGUGUUUAGUCCCACAUUACUUAUUCGUUAGGUAGAUCUUGGAUACUUAUACAAGAUCAAAGAACCUAAAUAAUACAUUUCAGCUAAUCAUUUAAGGCAAGGCGCAUGAACAAAAUUGAACUAAUAGAAUGAUGCAUAUAAACAACGCAUGGUUGUAUUAAUUGUCAAUACAAAGAUUUCAGUAACAACAUCAAAAUAUUAUAAUUUCAAGCUAUUGAUAUUAAAAUAAAAAUAUUAUAAUGGCUGCCAUUAUAGUUUUGUCACUGAAAAUCUAUUGAAAAAUACUAAUGUUAUUGCCCAAGUCAUUGUUUACUUAAUAAUUUUUUUGGAUGAUACAAAUUUUUGAAGAAAAAAAUUUAAACUUUAACUCUAAAAUAUUACUUUUUUAAAAAGUCAAAUGAAUGAAGUGUUAACAUCAUUUAAGGCAUUAUAUAAAAUUUAAAUAUUAUUUUAUUAUACGUGCAAUGUUUAUUUGAAGAUUAUAUAACAUGAUUUAAAAAUACUGUUUAUCUAAGAAUUUUAGUGUGGAUGAGUAGAAAAUUCUAUCAUAGGAACAAUAUUGGAGACCACGAUAAGAUCCAUUUUCAUAUAGACACAAACAUGGAUUAUUUUGGACUUCAAGUCAGUCUUGGGAGAACCUUGGCUCCUUAGUUUUAGCAUCCUAGUGUUGGUUAUGCUCCUGAUUUUUUAGGUUGAAACAUCUAUUAUUAGGUCUCAUGGCUGCAAAACAUUCUUGGGUUCGAGCCGUAUCUUCUGCAGGAAAGAAUGAUUAAUCUUUUUUUUUGACAUCAACUAUUGCAUCGCAUGUUGCACAAAUCUCAAAAUAAACCCUAAUCUCUAUUUUCUAUCUAUCUGUACAAAUCUCAAAGUAGAUAAUGUACGAUCCAGAGGAGUCACACACUUACGAGGUCACUGUGCAUGGCAUGCUAUUUGAGGAAUGUUCCUACUAAAUUGCCUGACCUGAUUGCUAUUGGCCAGCUAUUGUGCUGCUUCAGUAUAUGUAACAAGAUGUAUAUUUAUGUCAAUAAAAAGGUUAGUAAAUAAAAGUGACAACCUGACUGGGAGAAAAAAUUUUUUAAAAAACCAAGAAUUAGAGUUCUUGUUUACCGGUAGUAUUUAGCAUCUGCGAUAUAAUAUGUGGACAGUAUAUAAAGAGUGGAGAAGAAGAAAAUUAAAAUAUAUAUAUAUUAAAAUAGAAGAAGAAAUUGUCUCAAUUUGUAAUAUGCGGCUAUCACUGUAUUGGACCAUCAGAAUCAGAAUCUCUUUUUCCUUUACAUGAGAAGGAAAAAAGAAAAUUUUGAUCAUUAUCUUAUCUCACUUUAGCCUAUAAAAUAGAACUACCAAACCAAGCCAUAUGGAUUUGGUUAGUCUGAGCUGUAAAAUCUUGAUGAUGAGUCCAAGCAUACUAAAUUUAUAGAUUUUAUAAUUUCUUCUAUUUCUACGAAUCUAUCAAGCCAAGUCAAGCAAACAUAGUCAGAAAUUUUACAAUUGCUGCCUAAUAGGGGUGUAGAUAGUUCGAGUCGGGUCGGACCAUGAGUGAUCCUGACCCAAUACAGUUUUUUAUUCGAGUUCGAAUUUUGGACCUAGACCCAAUUCAAUAAAAGAUCGGAACGGGUCGGGUCGGAUCUACCGCUACAAUUUUGAUCCAACGGGUUAUUCGGGUCGGAUCGGGUUCAUGUAUAAUCCUGAUCUAAUCUAAAAAAUUUCGAUCAUGUUUCGGUCUAGGUCCGGUUUGGUUCGGGUAAACCCAUCCAUGGCUCCAGAACUUGUUUGCUCCGCUGCGGGCUGCAGUCUAUGGGUCUAAAUAAUUUUAGAGAUUCGAAUUGGGUCGGAUUGUAUAAUUAAAAAUCCAAAAUUACUUAAAUUUCAAAUAGAUCGGAUUGGAUCGGAUCAAGUCUGAAUUCAGUAAAUCCAAAUUCGACCUAAAAAAUAGAACUAGUUCAAUUUUAGGAUCCGACCCGACCUCACGGGUCUUUCAAAAUGGGUCGGAUCAGAUCUAAGCAGGUCGGAUCUGGUCGCUGGCUAAUCAAACUCAUUUACGGUCUUAAUUUCUUCCUAUUCUGAUGGUACUCCUGCCUCUUCUUCUUUGGAGGAGGUUUUUGUGUUUUAAUCUUGAAUCGUUCAGCUUCAGAAUUAUUUAUCUUGAGCUGCUCUAUUUUUCAGAAAACACAAAAAAUUUAAGAAGAAAUCCACAAUAGUUAUCCGAAUGGUUUGCUGUGUUCACAUCAAGGGGCAGCAUUUGAAAUCACACUCAAACAUCUCUUGGCUGAUGCAAUGCCGCCUAUCAUAAUUAACGAGAGUCGGACUCCAAGGUAACAUCCCAGCUGUGGCUUUCGGUUUAGAAAUAUGUGACAUGUGGAUAAGAAGGGGAAAAAAAAAAAACCGAUAGGUUGGACCCAGCUUUAUUCCAUCUUCGAGGCCGGCGCCUUCUCCCGACGGACCGACCUCUCACACGCUCUCAUCCACGGCUUCCUGACGCCUGACUCCGUUUCGCUGCCAGCCACCAACACGUGUGGACGGAAAAUUGAAGGGGCCCACCAGGAACGUACGUGUGACGCGUGAGGUGGAACCAUGGCUGCGUGGCCACUACGUGGCAGGAUAGUUAACAUAAUUUUUUUUUAGCUUUUUCCCUUUUUGGCUUCCUUAAAUUGGUAAAAUAAUCGUCACCAUGCUUUUACGAGGGUACAUAUACUCGAAAAACGUAUGGUCUCCCCUCCUUUGGAAGUUCUCGCGAAGAAAGCUAUCAGCACUCAGUAGUCAAAUAUGGGCCCCUCGUGCACGUGAAGUUAUAUUCUGCACCAUACGCACGACUGCAAUCAUGAAUGCUUAUUUUUAAAUUUUUUUUUUUAUUAUAUCAAAACGCUAAUCUCCAUGGCCUCCACAAAACGAAUAGUUAUAAUUCGCAGUGUGCAUGGUUAUAUGAUGCAGACUGGUGCUCCUUUUUUUGAAUUAUAAAAUAAAUAAUUAUAAUUGGCAGCAUGCAUGAUCGUAUGUUACACAUCAUGUAGGUAGAAAAUAAUUUCUUCCCAUACGUAUGAUGCUUUUCUUUGGAGUGCAUGAGUCCUUUUUUUUUUUUUUUCUUCGUACGCUUAUAAAAAGUUAGGCGAAGCCAUUUUGUACACUAAAAUUUGUCCGAUGAAGGAUUGAGAAUAGACUUGGGCACUGGGCCGGGCCGCCCAUGGCCCGGCACGGCCCGGCACGAAGCGGGUCGUGCCUGGCACGGCUCGCUUGCUACAGUACCGGGCCAUGCCUGGCACGGCCCAUUCAAGGGGGUCGUGCGGGGUCACGGUUUUCUGGCCCGCGGGCCGAGCCCGGCACGGCCCAUUAGGGCCUGGGCUGGNNNNNNNNNNNNNNNNNNNNNNNNNNNNNNNNNNNNNNNNNNNNNNNNNNNNNNNNNNNNNNNNNNNNNNNNNNNNNNNNNNNNNNNNNNNNNNNNNNNNNNNGAGCCAGGCCCGGUUCAGGCCCUUAUGGGCCUGAACCGGGCCCGGGCCGUGCCAGGCACGGCCCGUCUCCAUUAAAAUACCCAAAAUACCCCUCAAUUUAGCCCAAAAUACCCCUCAAUUUAGCUGUUUUUGGACUGUUGGGAGGGGCAUUUUUGGAAAAAUCCCAAAAUAGCCGUUGGAAACGACUAUUUUCUCCCCCCCCUCUCCAGACGGGCCGUGCCAGGCACGGCCCGUCUCGUGUCGUGCCGGGCCCGGCCCGCCAAUCGACGGGCCUGGGGCCGGGCCGGGCUUCGGUUUUCUGCUAAGCGGGCCGUGCCUGGCACGGCCCGCUAACGAAGCGGGCCGGGCCAGGCACGGCCCGUUUAGACCCCUGGCCCGGUGGGCCUGGGCCGGGCCGGCCCGGCCCGAUGCCCAAGUCUAGUUGAGAAUUAGAGUUCUAAAACGAGUUUUCUAAAUUACAAAAAAUUAAAUUAUUAUCCAGCAGAAAAUAUGUUUACAUUUCCAAACAAAUAUUUUUUUAAAAAAUAUAUAACGAUGCUUUAAAGCGUCAUUAUAAAAAAUAUCAAUUUAAGGAUUAUAAAUGCCGGUUUUUAGCGACACUUUUAAGUAUCCCUAGAAAGCGUUGCGAAAAACCGAUCUUUUCGCCACGUUUUUCAAAAGCGUCGGUAAAUUUUUUUUCCACUAUCACCUAUUCGACACUUUUGCGACGCUUUAGAAAACAUUGGCGGAAAAUUAACCGACAUUUAUAAACGUCGGUAUAGGCUUUAGAAAGCGUCGGAAAAGGCAAAUUUUUUUAUAGUAUGGUUAUACUGCUAUAUAUUAUGCAUGGAUUUACCGUUCAUGGGUUCCAUGUGAUAGUUGGGAAUUGGUGUGCUGUAUGCGCCAUAAAUCAUUCAGAGACUAAUUUCUGCUUAGGGCUAGUAAAACGAGUGGUGAUUCGGUGGACAAUGUCCAGCGUUUUCUUUGAGAUGCUAGUUUAGGUCUAUGUGAGGCUUCUUCCAUUUUUUUUUCCCAUACCAAAAGAAUCCAACCAAUUGCUUGUGAGAUAUUCAUGCAUAUAGGUGUUUAGGUGUCAAUUUCUAUCACAAAAACAUGCUGGAGAGCAAACCAUUCCCUUUAAGCCAUGAUUCAUGAUUCACGGAAGAAGGUAUUGUUUGUACUUUGAUGUGUGCACAUGGAUAAUAGGGACUUAUAUCUAAUUCGGUCAUUACUUAAAGCCCACUUACUUAAACUUAAUAUGGAUCUAAUUUUUAAAAUCCAAAGCUUAAGCUAGUAAGUGGAUGAGCCUAUAAGUAUAUAAGCAUGACUAUUUUUCAAUAUCCUCUUUUGUGUGUAAGUUUCUAAUAUCAUGUUAAAAUCCAACCUAAAAGUUUAAGCUAGUCAGUGAAUGCGCCCAUUGGUAUAAAAGCUUCGUUGGAGUUCUUAACCAUCCAAUAUGGGACAUUCCUCAACACUAAUAGUAUUAGACCCUACUUGAUUAAACUCAAUAUAAUUAAUUUAAAAUAUUAACCCCAUCCUUAGAAUUUAAACAUAAUAUGAAGUUGACACAUAAAAAUGGUACUCUGCCGUGAAAAGUAAAUAAGACGGAUCAAGUUUUGAAUCAAAGGCCAAAAACAUUUAGUUUAGCCAGGUAAAAGUCAAGCAAAACUCAGUCACAGAGGAAACUGAACUACAUCUUUAAUAAAAUUUUGGAUGAUGCGACAUAUAAAAAGUUUUAAGUUUAUAAAUUAUAUAAUCAAUUUCAAGCAUAUAUUUAUUGGCUAUUUGCAGAUUUAUAAUGUCAUCAUAAUGGAGAAGGAUAGUAAUUACUUUGGCUACUAGACCAAGCCCUUCAAGAAUAAUAUAUUUUUUUUUAAGAAAAAAAAAAGAGACAAAGGGCCAAUCCUUACUAAUCUAAAUAUUAUCAAAAAAUAAAUAUUUACAAAAUAGGCAGAGGAAGAAUGCACAAAGAAAAGAGAGCAGGAAAUGAUCAUAAGAAGAAGCUCCUUUCAGGGAUAAUAUUGGUCAACUUUUCUACAUGUAAAAAAACUGAAACAUAUGCACUUCCAUUACAUAAUCCAAGUCCUGUUGCAAAGAAAAGAAUGUUAUUUUGAAUCAGAUUUCUCUUUUGAGAGAAGGGUUUUGAAUUAGAUUUCACAAAGGAUUGUUGUUAAUAAAGUGCUCCAUAUCCAAAAUAGACUGACUUGCCUUUUUUUAAAACUCUAUUUAUGUGCAUAUAAUAAAUAUUUGUAUGUAAUGAAAAUAGUGUUGUUUUUGAUGGUGACACCAUAUUUUAAAGUUAACUUAGAAAUUCUUAGAAUAAGGAAACUUAGAAAAUUAAAGUGAAAGUUUUAAUUCCCAAUAAACUUGCUUUUUAGUUGGAAAGUAAUGGUACGAGUGCAUGGAAGAAGAGAAUUUUGUAAUUUUAGCAAAAUAGUUAGUGUUUAAUUUUGGAUCAAUUUACAAGAUAUCUAUAUACCGGUCAAAGAAAGUUUCACUUUAUUACUCUAUGAAAAAUUGGAUAAGCCUUCCAAUCAAAAAAAAAAAAAGAAAAAUUAGAUAAGCCUACCAAAUACAUAAUAAAUAUGUGCGCGACUUAAUAUACAUCCUAAGUAUAUAGUUAAUGUGACUAGAUUUGAUUGAGUUUGGAAUCUUGACAAGGACGUUAGAAUUUAAAUAAAAGAAGCAUGUGAUAUCUUUGUGUGGGUGAAAAGAAAAGGAGGAGGAGAAGAAAAAAAAGAAGUGAAACUUAAUUCUUGGUCCGUGGCGAUCUUUCCUCCCCCAAAAGAAAAGUUUUCUCCAUUAAUCCAAGCUAUGGCAUUUCCGUAACAUCUCCUCGGCUGCCUUGUAGACUAUAUCUACAAUAUAUAUAAACUGACAGCAGCCAACUUCCUUGGCGACAACACGCACGCGGCCAAACGCGACGCCUCCGCUCUCAAACCUGCCGGCGAAGCAAAAACAAAUCGGAAAACGGAAUACUCCUCCUUUCUGAUGACAGAGAGGAGGAACGGCGGAGCGGCCGAGACCACCGGACGACAAGGCCCAGGCGGCGGCGGCUGCGGCGAGAGGGACCAUGACUAGGGCUCUAACCAGGAAUUCGCUAAUGGCGGCCGUCGGCCUCUGGACGAGGCUGAGAUCCGGACCUGUUCUCUCAUCCUAUUACCAUUUGUGCGGAAAAUAUGGCACCUCUGGCUGCAAGAACGGGCAGCGCCACCAGGAGUACUCCACCGAAUCGGCCGCGGCCGAGGUGGAGGUGGCGGAGGGGUUGCGGCCGCUGCCGGGAGGCGGUGGUGGCUGGGAUUUCGUGGGAGCGAGGGAGUAUCUGGAGUAUAGAAGGGCCUUGUAUGGAGAGAUCACGCACAAGGCCGUCCUCGUGGACGCCGUCGGCACCCUCGUCGUCCCCUCUCAACCGAUGGCUCAGGUUUUCUCCGACUCUUUUUUUCCCUUUGAAACAACUCAUUCAUCAUCAUUUAAGCUCCAAGGUGGGCUUUUUAGGGUCGUAAGUUGUUUUGUUAUUUUGGCGAUCGGAUGUGGUUCUUAAAGUUUUUUUUUUAAAAAGAAAUUUUUAGUUGCAUUGUUUUUUUUUCCCUGUGUUAUGUGUUCGAUACUAGAAUUAGUAACAGACCAGGCAGGUGCAUUUGUUUUUAGGAUUGCUUUUGUUCUAGUGCUAUGUAAUCUUUUGGUGGCUUUAGAUUUACAGGAAUCUUGGUGAGAAAUAUGGCGUCCAGUACUCAGAAGAUGAGAUAUUGAGUCGGUACCGUUGGGCCUAUGAGCAGCCAUGGGGCAGAUCUCGGUUGAGGUCUGAUUACCAAAAGCAUUUAUUUCUUUCCCCUACUCUUUUGCUAUCAUGAUUUAUGUUCUAUAAUUGAUGUGUAGGAAGACAGAAUUGAUCGGAUUUUAAAAACUAAAUAUGUGACUUUGAUUGUCACUUUUUUUUUCCUCAGUCAAGUAAGAAGUUGUUAUUCAUCAUUUUUGUUGUUAUUGUAGAAAUGGGUGGUAUCUGUACAGUGUAAUAUAUAAUUUUCCUCCAUAAUUUUUGUAGCAGGACAAAGUGGCAGGCUUGCUUUACUAAGACAAAUUGGUCCUUCAAUCUGCAUGCAAUAGAUGCCUAAUUAUCUCCUUGAUGUUAACUGAUGUUUUCACUUGCCUCAAUUUAAUAGCAGUUGAAUGAGAUUGAAACCUUAAUUCCCUGGCAUGCUUUUUUAUUAGUUUAGAAUGUUUGAAUUGACAAACAUAGUGACUUAUGUGAGGAAGAAAUCAAUUUUUUUUCUUUUCUCUUUUUCAUAUAGAGAUUCUAUGAUGUUGAAAAUAGUUAAGUGCUUACCUUAGAGGAUCUCAAAGUUCGUAAGAUUUGCAUCAUCUAUUUUUAGUCUGUCAAUGGGCAAUGUGGGUUGAAGUGGCUUAAAUUAUCAACAUAUUUCAGAAUAUGAAGGCUAUGGAUUGGUUCAACUAAGAAAGGAAUAUAGGGAAAUUUUUAAUAUAGGAAUCAAAAGAAGACAAAUGUUUAAUAUCGCUCUUAAAUUAGGUACAAAUUUAACUAUACCUGUAGAUGUGACAUACAAGAUAUAAAUUAUGCAACUGAAAGAUUUGGUACUUAUUGAUAUGAUAAACGACAUGUUUGGGUUAGCUACCUAGCUUCACUAUGUAGUCAAGCCAUGUUACCAGGACACUUCAGUUUCUGGGAGUUAGAAUACGGACACUCCUAGACAUGACAUGAUACAACAAGACACUGUGUGAUACUCGAAAACUUGAAUGUUGUGCUUAAGUCAGCUAGAAUUGUCAGCACUUGGCAUUGUGUUUUGGUGUGUCCUGUCAAGGAUACCUCAUUGCAAUUCAUGACACUUGAAUUCUCAACUACAUCAGUAUCAAACUAUUUGUCGGAAGUCUUCAGAUUCUACUGGUGAAGUGUCAUUCCUAUUUUUUCCUUUUCUUUUAGUGUUAAUGGAUGCAAAUUUUUUAUCUGAGUGCUAUUUACCAGUCAACGAAAUCUACUUGUUAUCAUCUUUUACAUAUUUAUUUUUCUUGCUUUUAUAAAUUGUAUUAUAUGGAAAUGUCUUGAUACAAGUGUCCUGUGUCAAGAUUUUUUGGAGGUUAUGAUGUCAGACACUUGGGGACACUUAAAACCUAUGUCACUUGUAUACGUAAUGCUCUGUAGUGAGCAGGGAAGAAAAACUUUGGAUAGGUGUUGCUUUGUCUGAGUACUUUAUAGUUAUUUCCACAAGAUAGUUUUAACUUGAAUCUUAAUGUUCAUGCAUGUUAUAUGUCAUUUACUGAUAUUUUCUUUCCCCCCACUUUGUGGAGGAUCUUCAAUUGAUGCUCAAAGGAAAUCUCUGUCUGGUUACCAAGCUACCCUCUGAUCCUGUUUGAAAACAUUCUCGUAUGAACUUUUAAAUACUUAUUUGCAAAUCUGGAUUUGGAAAAAUAGGACAGAUAUUAUGCCUAUUUUAGAAGCAUGCAUUUGAUAGCGAUUAGGGAAUGAGAGAGCAUGGAUAAUGUUUACCAUAAUCAACAGCGUAAUGGAAUUCCCUUUCAAUAAUGCGAGUCUGAUAUGGAACCAAACUUUUAUUGGUUAUGGCUGCUUUGUGAUUAUAGGAUAGCACCAAUGCCACGUCAUUCCUACUUUUCUUUGUCUAGGUUCAAAUGUAAGAUUCAGCAUUCAUAUAAUUUAUACAAUCAUGCAUUGUUUGUACUUCAUCAAUUCCUUAAAUAUGCGUGUUUGUCCAGUUUAUUAUACUGCCUCAUUAAGAUUUUGAUUCAUUCCUGUGUGUGUGCGCUAAUCCCAGGUAUGUGGCUGAUGGGAGGCCCUUUUGGCAAUUCAUAGUUACUUCUUCUACAGGGUGUUCAGAUUUACAAUACUUCGAAGAGCUGUAUCAAUACUAUUCAACAGAAAAGGUGGGCUGAAUCUUAUGUGGGAAUGUCAUUGUAGUUUCCAAGUUUGCUGUCAAGUCAAGUCUUACAGUUAUUAUUUUGUUUUCUAGGCUUGGCAUCUUUGUGAUCCUGAUGCAGAAAAAGUUUUUCAAGCUUUGAGAAAGGCUGGAGUGAAAACAGCUAUAGUCUCGAAUUUUGACACCCGCUUACGGUCUCUGCUGCAAGCGCUAAAAUGUGAUCACUGGUUUGAUGCAGUUGCGGUGUCAGCUGAGGUAAGUGGCCUUUUCUGUUUCUCCUUUUUCCCCUUCCUAUGAAUAGGUAUGCGGUGUGUAUGGUCAGUAGUCACCUAUAAUGUUAUUUUGACAUACAGAGUUGCAACUUGAGUUAUGAAACCACCCCUCAAAAUUUUUGCAUUUGUUAAUUUGUAUUAAGAUGCUUUAUAGACUUUAGGUUGGUGAAUCCAUGUUUAUAUUAUCUUGUAUUUCACACAAAUAAACUGGCAUAAUAUGCUCUUUUUAGUGUUCCUUUUUCAUUUGAUCCACUAUUAAAUGUUUGUCCUUGUCACUGCAAACUUACUAAUUAAUUGGUAUUGAUCUUGUUUCCAGACUUUCUCUAAGAUCUUAGGAAUGCUUUGUAACAGGUAGCAGCUGAAAAGCCCAACCCGACAAUAUUUUUGAAGGCGUGUGAGUUGUUGGGAGUAAAACCUGAGGAAGCAGUGCAUGUCGGUGAUGAUCGCAGGAAUGAUAUAUGGGGAGCUAGGGAUGCAGGUUGUGAUGCAUGGCUUUGGGGCAGCGAUGUCCACUCUUUCAAGGAGGUAUCUUACGUACUCUCAGUUGUCAAUUCAUGACCUAAAUCCUUAGAUAUCAUCAAUGAUAUGAUGAAGGUACUCAGAAAAUAUUGCGUCUGGAUACAACUAUUAUGAUAUAAUGUGGAUAUCAUUCAAAAGGCCACCAUUGAUCUUGACUAUGAUAAUUCCAAGACUCUUUACAAGUUUCUGCCAUGGCUAAAUUCAUGUUGCAGGCUUUCCUGGAGAUGUUUCACAUGAUUUCUAAGUCCUUAAUCAACUUAAAUACCUUAUAGGAGACUGCCUUGGUUUUCUGUUUUGGAACCCUGUUGUUUCCUCUGUGAUUUCUUUUACUCUUAGGGUUGCAUGUCAUGUUUGUGGGAAUUUAGAGAAAUAUUCAUGAGCUCUCAGGCUGGAUGUUCUCAGGCUUCUUAUAUCUGGCCUGUUUUGGUGUGGUCCGAUCUUUGAGCAGCUCGGUGGUGCCGGCCUUGUUUCUUCUCCUUUUCUUUCCUCUUUCUUUUCUCUUCUUGCGAUCAUUGUAUAUUCUUGAGUAAUGCUAAUACACUUGCAAAAUGAUAUUAGUCCCGUUAGAUUAGUUUUGACUUGAUGAUGGGGUCUCCGGCACCGAUUAUUUGAGCUAUUAGAUAUGAUCUACUGUCGCUAAGAUGCUUACUGUCAGAAUUGGAGACUCCUAGCCUCCUAUGCAUCAAAUGGUUAAAACUGGACAAUUUAACUAAACAAAACAAUGCAUACUUUUGACUACUUGAUGCAUAGCUUAGGGAUCCUCAAAUGACAUGAUCUUUUGGUAGUAAAUAGUUUAGAGAUAAUAGACUAUAUCCAAUAUCUUGAAUCAUCAGUGCCAGGUCCCUCUCGUUUGGUUAGGACUGACCUAACAGGGGCUGAUAUCUUUUUGCGAGUAUAUUAGCGCUACUCUAUAUUCUUAUUGAAAUGGUGGUGCUUCAACAACAUCUUUCUUAACCAAAAAAAAAGGAACAAAAUGCCUUCCUGGUUAAUCUCAUGGCAAGUUGGUUUCACGCAAUGACACUAUGGAAUCUUAUUCAUGGGUUUUUUUGUGCAGGUUGCCCAAAGAAUUGGUGUCCAAGUUUGAGGAAGCAGUCAUGCUCAUGCCGCCAAGUAAUUCCAUGUUCAGAUCAUGUGUACAGGAUAUCAUCUCCUCUCUGACAUCAAGUUUCUGAUCAUAGCUAUAUUAUAUUAAUUUACAGAAAAAAAAUAGUGAGGAAGAAGGGAGAUGUAUCAGGAAAAUGAGAUCUUCAUGAAUUUUCAGUUUCUGAAGUUGGAAAUAAUUAUGUGAACUUGGCUAUCCAUCAUAACUAUCUACUACGAUAUUUUGCUGUUGGGAAUACUGUAACAUGAGCAAGGAAAAUGCAAGUCCCUUUGAGAAAAAAGAGAGAAGAGUAUGGGAUAUGUAACAAAAAAAAGAAAAUCUUCUCUCGAGGGAGCUACCUAAUCUAGACUAGAGUAUGUUCAUGGAAUUUUGAAAUAGAUUUGAGUUGGCCUUUCUGAUUUCUAAGAUGGGGAGAAAAUUAAGCCAUCUUCAUUAUUCUAUGACGAAGGUGAAGCAUAUAUGCUUUUCCUCCUGCAAUCCUCAGAAUGGUUUUGUAUUUCAAGUUAAAUCGCUGAAGCAAUAAUCGUGUUUCCUGACACCAAAACAGUGUAGGCACGUAGGAAAAAGCUCGGUAGACUAUUUUGUGACAAAUCCCAAGGAACAACUAAUACGAUAUGUAUUUUUCAUCAGCAUGAUAUCAACUAUUUUGUGAAUUCAUUUAACUUUAUAUUUUUGAAAGAGAUUGACAUGUUUGUUGUUAUCUAGUGUUUGCCCUAUGAAGUGGGUCUGAUAUCAAUUAAUCCUAUAUAUAUAUAUAUAUAUAUAUAUAUAUAUAUAUNNNNNNNNNNNNNNNNNNNNNNNNNNNNNNNNNNNNNNNNNNNNNNNNNNNNNNNNNNNNNNNNNNNNNNNNNNNNNNNNNNNNNNNNNNNNNNNNNNNNNNNNNNNNNNNNNNNNNNNNNNNNNNNNNNNNNNNNNNNNNNNNNNNNNNNNNNNUUUAUUUAACGUUAUAUUGAUGAAAGAGAUUGACAGGUUUGUUGUUAUGUAGUGUUUGCCCUAUAAAGUGUCUGGUAGGAUUGCUCGGAUGGUAUUUCCAUUGCAAAUUUUUCCCACUCGACCCUACAAAAUUAGGUUUCACUGCUACAUGUGGAUGUGCUAGGCGGGUCAACUUGAUGUUGGACGUGCCCACCUGUCUUACCUGGAUUGUUUGUGGUUCCCUUUGUUUCUGUAACUCUUGAGUUCCCUUCUUGCCAAUCUAUUUGGCUAGUCUGCAUCAAGAUUAGAAAAUACCAUCAUGUAAUGCUAAUAAACAUUUUAUUGUUGUUGAUUAAAUUCUUCAACCAGAACUUCUUGAUGAAAUAUAUUUGCGAUUAGAGGAACAUCAAGUCAAACACCAUAUAAGAAAUGAUGUUUAUGAAGACUUUGAUCAGGAUCUAAGGACUCAUUUGGUUCACGGAAAAAGAAGGAAGAAAAGUGUAGUUAACGAAAAAAAAAAGAAGAAAUAUCUCUUACUUAGAGUUUUUAAAUGAGAGAGAUAAAUAGUAGUAUUUUUAUAUGAAUAAGAUUUUCAUAUUUUAUGAGAAAGACAAAUUUACGGAGGAUAUGAAAAGCUACUGUCCAAUUAGUUUUUUUUUUUUAAAGUGCCUUUAAGCCAUUAAAAUCCAUGGGUAAGACUUCUCUAUAUCAAAUUUAUUAAAAGCAUAGUAGGUAUUUUAUACAACUAUCCCAGAAGAGUAAUGCUUAACCAAACAUAAAUAUCAUAUACUAAGAAAAAAUAUUUCAAUGAAGAAAAAUUCUUUCUGCGAACCAAAUGAGUCUUAAAUUUAGGAGCUUCUCUGCGGGAGCCGGUCUAUUAAGAAAAAAAAAAAAUCAUAUUUUCACUCAAAAAGAGAUUUAGGUGUGCUUCAAUUACCGAUCAAAAAAAAUGAAGUCAUGGUAAUGCUAGGAUGACGAGAAAUUACCAUCAACACAAAUAUCUAUUCCCCUAUGAGCGUAUUUAACACUUAGCUUUGUAAUUAGUGCCACCUCUUAGUCUAAAGCCAAUCUGAAAAAUAACUUGGUACAAUCUGAUAGGAAUUCGCAAGUUAUCUGAGUUAAGCUUAGAUUGAAAAAAAAAAAACAUGAUACUUUUUAAAUAUAGUCCAGAUAUGAAUCACUAGGCAUCCCGAUCGUACGAAUCCAAAAUUUGUAUACAAUAUUUUCACAUAUCGUUUUCCCAAAAUUAGAUUAUCAAUUUAUGCUGACUCCAAACUUUACGUGGUUGUCUAUCACAUUUAACAGAAAAUAUGUUGUUGAUGGUGUUGACGUGUCAUCUACUUGUUAUGCAGCAACUAUAAAUGCACUUUUUAUAGCUUUACCUGAGUUUAACCGAAAGACUUCUGGAUCAAAACCAUAUCGUAAAUCCGACAGGAUCCAACCCAAACGGAAAUGGAUUCGACCUAGAUUCAAUUUUCCGACACGAUUCAAGAAUGUGCUGGAUUCGAAGUUUGCCCAUCUUCAAUCCAGCCUAACCCUCUUGCAACAGCCAAUCUCAUAAUUACCAUCCUUGUGGCUUCAAGCCGUCUCUCUCGUGAUGUUGCCAUCCAUCUUGAGCCACUUCAUACCGUGGCUCGCCUGGGGGCGGUCUCUACCAAGGAGUAGCCGGCGAUGGGGAAAAAUCUCCUCAUCUUCCUCUCUGCCGCCGGCGUCGCGCUUUUAGCUAUCCUCCUCCUUCCCACUCGAAGCCCCUCUCGUAUUAAUCACUAAACCCCUGUCUAUUUAAAAUCUAAUGGUCAAAAAAAGAAGAAGAUAGCGAGAACUAAGCAAUCGUGGUUGGAAUCGCAGGGAGUCUAUGGAAGUGGCGCCGGACUUCCGCGGAUCUGGUGGUGAUGAACGCCACUAUCUACACCAGCGACCACUCCCUUCCCUUCGCCGAAGCCAUGGCCAUCCGGAACGGCCGGAUUCUCGGAGUCGGAAACUAUUCCUCUGUUAAGGUAGUUUUGAUCUCUUUUCUGUUAUUAAAGCACUGCUUUCUUUGUUCAUAACCGCUUGUGUCGAUUAUUGGAGUCUUUGGUCAUCGUGACUGCAGGACCUAGUGGGUUAUGGAACUCGGGAAUUGAAUCUUAAUGGGAAGGUUGUGAUUCCAGGGUUUAUCGAUUCGCAUGCGCACUUUAUAAAUGGUGGUUUGCAGGUAGUGUGAUUUUUUACGUUGUUUGUUGUAACUUGAUCAGUUUUUCUUCUAUAAUUAAGUUAUUGGACAUGGAUCCAUAUUAGGAGGCCUGCAAAAAAUUCAUAAUGGCGAUUUGUUUGUGCAAUCGCAUGUUCAUCAAAUAUGCAAAUAUGCAUCAUCAUCAUCAAAAAAAAAGAAGCAAAUGUGUUGUUUCAUUCAGAUCAGCUGUUGUAAGCUUAAGCUUGCAUGUGAUGAGUCGGUUGGACAGACCAUGGAAUUUGGAGGUAUAAAAGCCACUAUUUGAUAAACUAUAUAAAGGACGAAUGGGAUAAAUUGUAAAUCGUCUCUCAAAUUAUAUAUAAAUGGCCCUUGAAAGGAGGAUGGUCUACUCUGGCUUAAUCUGCAAUAAUAGAAUGUACAAUUUUGAAGCUUCAUAUGAAUAUGACAUCAUGAUUAUCAUCAUCUGAAGUACCUACCAAGUACCAGAAUACAAAAUUAUAGUAGUUUAAAGAGCAAGAUCACAAUGAGGCACACCAUUUAUCAUCAAAUAAGUUAUGAUCUCAAAACUCACAAAUUCAAGCUCAAAACUUGUGAAUCCACUCUCAAGGGUAACUUGAUCUACUCAAUGGACCGUUUCUUCCUCUCUCCUCAGAAGCUCUCAAAUAUCCUAAAUACUCUCUUAAAUCCAGAAAAAUUGACCUUUUCUUGAAUUAUUGGGAUCAAGCUUUCAAACGCUUCUAAUAUUUAUCAUAAGCUGCAGAAGUGCUAUAUUUAGUCUUACAAAAAUGCUUUGCAAAUACUAGAUUAAUCAUUCCAAUGAUUAAUACUUCUUUUCAA